ACAAGCGGUGGAGCAUGUGGUUAAUUCGACGCAACGCGAAGAACCUUACCAGGGCUUGACAUCCCCUGACCGCGUAUGAAAGUACGUUUUCACCUCGGGUGACAGGGAGACAGGUGGUGCAUGGUUGUCGUCAGCUCGUGUCGUGAGAUGUUGGGUUAAGUCCCGCAACGAGCGCAACCCCUACGUUUAGUUGCUAACGCGUGAAGGCGAGCACUCUAGACGAACUGCCGUUGACAAAACGGAGGAAGUGGGAUGACGUCAAAUCAUCAUGCCCCUUAUGUUCUGGGCUACACACGUGCUACAAUGGCCGGUACAGACGGACGCAAAGCCGCGAGGUGGAGCAAAUCCUAAAAAGCCGGUCUCAGUUCGGAUUGCAGGCUGCAAUUCGCCUGCAUGAAGUCGGAAUCGCUAGUAAUCGCAGGUCAGCAUACUGCGGUGAAUACGUUCCCGGGUCUU
rnacentral:rRNA from 1 species